UAGGGAAUCUUCGGCAAUGGACGAAAGUCUGACCGAGCAACGCCGCGUGAGUGAAGAAGGUUUUCGGAUCAUAAAACUCUGUUGGUAGAGAAGAACGUUGGUGAGAGUGGAAAGCUCAUCAAGUGACGGUAACUACCCAGAAAGGGACGGCUAACUACGUGCCAA
rnacentral:rRNA from 1 species